AACGUACGCUGGCGGCACGCUUAACACAUGCAAGUCGAACGAAGUAGCAAUACUUAGUGGCAGACGGGUGAGUAACAUGUGGGUAUCUGCCCUUUGGCCUGGAAUAACACGAGGAAACUUGUGCUAAUACCGGAUAAGUCUUUACGGAGAAAGCUUUAUGCACCAUUGGAUGAGCCCGCACUUGAUUAGUUUGUUGGUGGGGUAAUGGCCUACCAAGACUGUGAUCAAUAGCUGAUUUGAGAGGAUGAUCAGCCACAUUGGGACUGAGACACGGCCCAAACUCCUACGGGAGGCAGCAGUGGGGAAUCUUGCACAAUGGAGGAAACUCUGAUGCAGCGAUGCCGCGUGAGUGAAGAAGGCCCUUGGGUUGUAAAGCUCUUUCGUCGGGGAAGAAAAUGACUGUACCCGAAUAAGAAGGUCCGGCUAACUUCGUGCCAGCAGCCGCGGUAAUACGAAGGGACCUAGCGUAGUUCGGAAUUACUGGGCUUAAAGAGUUCGUAGGUGGUCGAAAAAGUUAGUGGUGAAAUCCCAGAGCUUAACUCUGGAACUGCCAUUAAAACUUUUCAGCUAGAGUAUGAUAGAGGAAAGCAGAAUUUCUAGUGUAGAGGUGAAAUUCGUAGAUAUUAGAAAGAAUACCAAUUGCGAAGGCAGCUUUCUGGAUCAUUACUGACACUGAGGAACGAAAGCAUGGGUAGCGAAGAGGAUUAGAUACCCUCGUAGUCCAUGCCGUAAACGAUGUGUGUUAGACGUUGGAAAUUUAUUUUCAGUGUCGCAGCGAAAGCGAUAAACACACCGCCUGGGGAGUACGACCGCAAGGUUAAAACUCAAAUGAAUUGACGGGGACCCGCACAAGUAGUGGAGCAUGUGGUUUAAUUCGAAGAUACGCGCAGAACCUUACCAACACUUGACAUGUUCGUCGCGACUCUAAGAGAUUAGAGUUUUCGGUUCGGCCGGACGAAACACAGGUGCUGCAUGGCUGUCGUCAGCUCGUGUCGUGAGAUGUUGGGUUAAGUCCCGCAACGAGCGCAACCCUCACUUUUAGUUGCCAUCAUUAAGUUGGGCACUCUGAAAGAACUGCCAGUGAUAAGCUGGAGGAAGGUGGGGAUGACGUCAAGUCCUCAUGGCCCUUACGUGUUGGGCUACACACGUGCUACAAUGGUAUCUACAACAGGAAGCAAGACUGCGAGGUCAAGCAAAUCCUUAAAAGAUACCUCAGUUCGGAUUGCACUCUGCAACUCGAGUGCAUGAAGCUGGAAUUACUAGUAAUCGUGGAUCAGCGUGCCACGGUGAAUGCGUUCCCGGGUCU
rnacentral:rRNA from 1 species